UCAGGUGGCUCCACAAAGCCCUCCUCUGUUUCCGAUUCCUCAAAACCCCCCUCUUUAGCACCCUCUCCAUCACUCUCAACUGCCUCCACCGCUGCAUCUUCUCCGUCAGCCUCCCAAUCAGAGACUUGGGCUUCAGGGACAACACUUGCUUGAUUUUCCCACGUGGGUUCUUCUUGUUCAGAUUCUGUAAGAGUGAUUGUGGUGUCGCCUUCCUCUUCUCUUUGGGCCCAAUCAGAGGUCUGGGCUACAAAGGGAACAAAG
rnacentral:misc_RNA from 1 species